rnacentral:rRNA from 1 species
UACGUAGGUGGCAAGCGUUAUCCGGAUUUAUUGGGCGUAAAGGGAACGCAGGUGGUCUUUUAAGUCUGAUGUGAAAGCCUUCGGCUUAACCGGAGUAGUGCAUUGGAAACUGGGAGUCUUGAGUGCAGAAGAGGAGAGUGGAACUCCAUGUGUAGCGGUGAAAUGCGUAGAUAUAUGGAAGAACACCAGUGGCGAAAGCGGCUCUCUGGUCUGUAACUGACGCUGAGGUUCGAAAGCGUGGGUAGCAAACAGG